rnacentral:rRNA from 1 species
UACGAAGGGGGCGAGCGUUGUUCGGAUUUACUGGGCGUAAAGGGCGCGUAGGCGGCCCUCCUUGUCGCGUGUGAAAGCCCCGGGCUCAACCUCGAGACGUCGGCGGAAACCCUCUGGCUAGAGUCCGGAAGAGGAGAGUGGAAUUCCUGGUGUAGCGGUGAAAUGCGCAGAUAUCAGGAAGAACACCCGUGGCGAAGGCGGCUCUCUAGUACGGUACUGACGCUGAGACGCGAAAGCGUGGGGAGCGAACAGG